rnacentral:rRNA from 1 species
CCUACGGGCGGCAGCAGUGAGGAAUAUUGGUCAAUGGGCUUAAGCCUGAACCAGCCAAGUCGCGUGAGGGAAGACUGCCCUAUGGGUUGUAAACCUCUUUUGUCAGGGAGCAAUUGGCGCUACGUGUACCUUUAUCGAGAGUACCUGAAGAAAAAGCAUCGGCUAACUCCGUGCCAGCAGCCGCGGUAAUACGGAGGAUGCGAGCGUUCUCCGGCUUUAUUGGGUUUAAAGGGUGCGUAGGCGGAAUGUCAAGUCAGUGGGAAAAUCGCGGGGCUAAACCUCGCUCCGCAGUUGAAACUGGCGGUCUUGAGUGGGCGAGAAGUAUGCGGAAUGCGUGGUGUAGCGGUGAAAUGCAUAGAUAUCACGCAGAACUCCGAUUGCGAAGGCAGCAUACCGGCGCCCAACUGACGCUGAAGCACGAAAGCGUGGGUAUCGAACAGGAUUAGAUACCCUUGUAGUC